UAUAAUGCUAUUAGAAACACGAUUCGGGGU
rnacentral:piRNA from 1 species